rnacentral:rRNA from 1 species
UACGAAGGGUGCAAGCGUUAAUCGGAAUUACUGGGCGUAAAGCGUGCGUAGGCGGUGAGUUAAGUCUGUCGUGAAAUCCCCGGGCUCAACCUGGGAAUGGCGAUGGAUACUGGCUCGCUAGAGUGUGAUAGAGGAUGGUGGAAUUCCCGGUGUAGCGGUGAAAUGCGUAGAGAUCGGGAGGAACAUCAGUUGCGAAGGCGGCCAUCUGGAUCAACACUGACGCUGAGGCACGAAAGCGUGGGGAGCAAACAGG